rnacentral:rRNA from 1 species
CCGGCGACCGGCGCACGGUGAGUAACACGUAUGCAACCUGGGCCGCCACAGGGGAUAACCCGCGGAAACGCGGCCUAAUACCCCGUGACGCCACCGGAGGGCAUCCUCCGGUGGCCAAAGGAGCGAUCCGGUGGCGGAUGGGCAUGCGGCGCAUUAGCUAGACGGCGGGGUGACGGCCCACCGUGGCGACGAUGCGUAGGGGUUCUGAGAGGAAGGCCCCCCACACUGGGACUGAGACACGGCCCAGACUCCUACGGGAGGCAGCAG